rnacentral:tRNA from 3 species
GGAGAGGUGUCCGAGCGGUUUAAGGUGCAUGCUUGGAAAGCAUGUGUGGGGCAACUCACCGGGGGUUCGAAUCCCCCCCUCUCCG